rnacentral:rRNA from 1 species
UCUUCCCUCUUUCUUCGUGCCUAAUACAUGCAAGUCGAGCGAACGGACGAGAAGCUUGCUUCUCUGAUGUUAGCGGCGGACGGGUGAGUAACACGUGGAUAACCUACCUAUAAGACUGGGAUAACUUCGGGAAACCGGAGCUAAUACCGGAUAAUAUUUUGAACCGCAUGGUUCAAAAGUGAAAGACGGUCUUGCUGUCACUUAUAGAUGGAUCCGCGCUGCAUUAGCUAGUUGGUAAGGUAACGGCUUACCAAGGCAACGAUGCAUAGCCGACCUGAUAGGGUGAUCGGCCACACUGGAACUGAGACACGGUCCAGACUCCUACGGGAGGCAGCAGUAGGGAAUCUUCCGCAAUGGGCGAAAGCCUGACGGAGCAACGCCGCGUGAGUGAUGAAGGUCUUCGGAUCGUAAAACUCUGUUAUUAGGGAAGAACAUAUGUGUAAGUAACUGUGCACAUCUUGACGGUACCUAAUCAGAAAGCCACGGCUAACUACGUG